AUGCUUGAGAAAGCAGCAGUGCUGCUAAGGGCUGAGCAGGGACGCCUAAUCCUGCUUACCUUCACCUGGAGCUGCUCGCUCAGCCUUCGUGGUGAGCCUGGCCUCAGGCCCGGGGAGUGUGCCCCCCACGCUCCAGCUCUGGGCAGCCUGGCAGAGGAGAGGCUCCCAACCAGCCCCCCUAUGCGGGGUGCUCCCCCAGUAGCCGAGCGCUGGGGAGGGGUGGCAUGGCUGGUCCGCGUGAGCUUGAAGGGAGCUCCCUUCUCCCAAAAGUUCUGUCUAGAUGGGCUCGGCGGUGCCAGCCCACCUCGUGUGCCUGUCCGUACCCCACCAGACAUGCCCAGAGUGGGUCCUGCGGCCUCCAAUCAAAGCCAGGGGGAUGCUUGGGGUAACGGGCAGUGGGUGGCCCCGAAACCGCAGUUGCCCGUGGGCCCCUCCCCAUGCCUUGCUUCCUCUGACUCCCCCUAAUUAUUUCUCCUGGAUGUUGCGAAUUAAAUCUUCUGGCAACCACAGGAGACGUCUCUGGGUGAGGCCCCGCUCACAUCUCCAUGCGCCAAUAGAAGUUGUUAAAUGAAUAAUGUUGACUUACGCUGGGGACCCAAUUCUCUAUGAAUAUAAUUCCCCUUCGGGUUCCGGGGAGCUUCCUGCAGAAACCGUAAAAAUAAUAAACACGUCUCCAUAUCAGAGGUUGGUAAUGCUGCUUCGAAUCCUUCUGGGGGAGAGAGAUGCGGGGAAGAGAUAAAUUAAAAUUAAUUUUUUAAAAGAGCAUCACGCCACAAAUCAGAUGACAGAGUAAGCCANNNNNNNNNNNNNNNNNNNNNNNNNNNNNNNNNNNNNNNNNNNNNNNNNNNNNNNNNNNNNNNNNNNNNNNNNNNNNNNNNNNNNNNNNNNNCCCCCACUUCCAAAUUAGCAUGCAGGUGAUGGGCAGUGGGGGAGUGACACAGGCCCGAUCGUUGUGGAAAGUGAAGUUUGGAAAUCGUAGGGUAGUGGGGUUGGUCUGUGGACUUGGCUUCCCGUUGGGUCUGACCAGCUGUGACCCACUCUCUUGCACUUCACCUCUCUGGCCGGCUUCACGGCUGUGGAAUUGCCAGGAGUAGGCAGAGACGGCUGGAGGCUCUGGGAGGACCACUUAGGCCGGCCCCUCCUCCUAAGAGCCUGGCUAGCCCUGCAUCACCCGGGAGUGUCACCUGUGAGCCAGGUGGGCCUGUCGCCCUGGCCCCGGGGGAAGCGUGGCCGCCCUCCCCGCUGAGACAGAGGCCUGGCCCGUGAGGGCAGGUGCCCCUCGGAGCAUCCGAGGCCGUGACCAUGCGCAGCUCCCCGCGCAGAGGGCUUCCAGGUGUUGCGUAAGCAACCCUCCACGGCUCCUCCGCCAGUGGGCUGGAGAGACAUGGGGUCACCUCGAGACACCAUGGCGUCCAGCGGGCCCGCUUUCUCACGCGCCGCCUGGGCGCUCACGGAGCAGGUCAGGCAGCGAGGGGACUUUCCCAAGGUCAUGAAGCAAUUUGCCGGCUGAGCCAGGAAUAGAAGUCCUGAGCUGGGCUGUGCUAACCCCGGGCUCAAAUUGCUAGCCAGGCAGGUCUGCACGCGGAGCUGGGUGCUUGUGGUGCGGGGGGGCGGGGUGCAGGGUAGGGAGCCGCCAGGAGCCCUAUAUGUGGGCCAAGGGGAGGGGCUGGGAGCUGUCCUCCCCACUCGACGGCGAUGGGGAGGGCCAGAGCUCUCUUGAGUCCCUGUCAUCCCCGGGAGAGGAGCUGGUUCUGCAGUGGGAGCAGGGCUUGGUGAGCGUGCAGGUGGGAAGGUGCUGGUGGCGGCCUCCCUGCCUGCCUCUUCUCAGGUCACCUGGGAGCCUUCCGCAACAGCAGAAAACCCCAGUGUCUGUUCCCCUGGUGCCUCUCUGCAGAAGACUCCAGCCGCUGUUAGGGGGAGGCACUGGCCUGUCUUCACAGAUUGUAGGAUCCCACAAGGGCUGAUAGGGAAAACUCACCCUCGUCUGCUCUAGAAAGGCACUCAGCUUUCUAGAACCAGAGGACGGAUGUAUAUUCUGGGAGGUUCCUGCGUCCUGUUUUUGGCUGAGUUUAUUUUGGGGGCAAGAGGGAUGCACACAGCAUUUGUUGCUGAUGAGGGCUUGUGUCCUGGAAGGGGCUUCUCACGUUCAUUUAGAUGAAUUCAGCAAACGGCUAUUUAAGGGCUUGUGAAGGUCCAGAAAUAAGGACGGCUGUUUCCUCUCCACCAUCGACUUGGUAAGCCUGGGGCGCAAUGUAAGGAAUUCAAAAGUAACCCCCUGCCCCGGGAUUGGGACCGUCAGCUUCCCUUAAUGGAGGUUAGAGACACAUCCCUUAAGGCUACCUGGAGGAGGUGGAAUUUAAACCAAGGCCUGAGCAAAGAGGUAGGUGGCAAACAGAGGGGCUUUGUGAGGGGCCGGGGAGGGGGCCGCCAGCACAGGUAGAGCCUGGGGAAGGUGAGGAAAGGAGAGGGUUCUUAAUCUAAAUUACCCUGCCUUUGAGGGGAGGUAGCAGCAAAGUGUGUUGGGGACCUGUCUAGACACUUCUAGGAAGGCCUGUGUGUAAGGGGGGAGACCUGAGCUGGCCGGCACCCAAGUUUGCAGGGCGAGACCGGAGAGAUGGGAGGUGAGGUCCUGAGGGGCAGAGGUGGUGACUUAGGAGGGGAGAGGAGCCCAGGGAGGUGGGGGCAGGAGCGUGGGAGGGGGGCAGCCCUGCCGGGAGGGCCCGGGAGGAGACAGUGGACCCAGAUGCUCUGGGCGUCACCUUGCAGUCGACGUCACGGUGGGACUGGGGUUGCAGAGAGUCAGGGGCCAGGCAGCUGGGUGGGCGGAGCAGCNCAGGGUGGGGGCUUCACAGCUGAGGCUGAAGAGCCCGUGGGAGGGAAAGCAAAGGCCCUUCUUGGAGCAAACAGGUGGAAAGUGAGAGGGACACCCCGGGUAGCUCAUCCCCUCCCCGACCUUCCACACGGGGCCUGCAGAUGCCCAGGGACCUUACCAGCAGCCACCACCACCAGAACUUCCCGUGGUGAAACGGCACUCCUUUGAACAAGGUCCUUUUGCCUUGGUUAUUUCCAUUUGUAAGACCAGCUUAUAAAAACGUACGUGCAACAAGAGUUGAGCAAGUGGGUCCUCUCUGCCUCCGUGAGCUGGCAGAGAGGCCGGGACCUGGCCUUAACCGCUCGUCCCUGGGGGCCCAGGCCUGGCCGUGGGGGCAGAGGCCGGGUGAGGGCCAGUCCUCUGCCCACGGCAAACUUGUGCAGUUGGCGAGUGAUAAAGGCACGUGGGAUUUGAUUGUCCUGGUGAUGGUUUGCAGCUUCCACAGGCAGUAGAUAGUGAAUCCAGAAAUUUGUCAGGAGCACUGCCAUCCUGAAAAAGGAGUGAGGGGAGGUGGGUAGCAGAGGAGGAGCGAAGAGGACUGGGUUCAAACCCAGGCCUUAGUCUCCUGUUGCAAGAAGCAAGCCUGGCGCAUAGUAGGCACUCAACAAAUGUUCACUCCCAGAACCUUGGCUGCCAUCCACGGAGCAGGGCCCAUGGUGCGGGGGGGAGGUGAGGUGGGGAAGUAGAGGCCCCAGGAAGUGGGGUGGGAGCCCACUGCAUACGUGUGUGCAAAUCCACAGGCCUAUACAGAUGUUGGUUUUCCAGAGUGGUUUUGCAUGAAAGAAAUUUGAAGUCUUUUAAACGAACAAGGAAAAUUGGGGAUGAAAACCCUGCCCCCAAAUAAGCUUCUGAGGAUUGCUUCAAGUUGAUGUCAGCGGUGACCCCACGGCUUGGCAGCCUGGGUUCUAGAGCACGGCCUUCUCCCGGUGCUCAGUGGGGUCCCAUGGCUUCGCCCAGGACCUCGGGGUGACUCAGUACCCCAAGGCUCGCCUGGGCCGGUGGCCGGGCGUCCAGAGGCCCUGUCCUCUAAGCUGACAGAGCAGAAAGAGAGGAAAGCCCCUUGCCUGCAGAGGACAGCUGGUUAAUCUUUACAGAGGAGGGUAGUUCCUGAGAAACUGAUGCGGGAACCACCCAGAUGNNNNNNNNNNNNNNNNNNNNNNNNNNNNNNNNNNNNNNNNNNNNNNNNNNNNNNNNNNNNNNNNNNNNNNNNNNNNNNNNNNNNNNNNNNNNNNNNNNNUCCUGAGAAACUGAUGCGGGAACCACCCAGAUGUCUGUGUCCGCCCGGGCCUUCUGGCCUUCCCCUAGGCAGCCAGGCUGACCUCAGGCUGAGGUCAGGGUUCUGGGACCACAGGUUCCCCUGUCACCUUGACCUUCAAUGCGCCUGC
ensembl:lncRNA